AUAUUGGACAAUGGGGGCAACCCUGAUCCAGCCAUGCCGCGUGUGUGAAGAAGGCCUUCGGGUUGUAAAGCACUUUAAGUGGGGAAAAAGGCUCGUUGGCUAAUAUCCAGCGGGAUUGAUACUACCCACAGAAUAAGCACCGGCUAACUCUGUGCCAGCAGCCGCGGUAAUACGUAGGGUGCAAGCGUUAAUCGGAAUUACUGGGCGUAAAGCGUGCGCAGGCGGUUCGGAAAGAAGGAUGUGAAAUCCCAGGGCUCAACCUUGGAACUGCAUUCUUAACUACCGAACUAGAGUAUGUCAGAGGGGGGUAGAAUUCCGCGUGUAGCAGUGAAAUGCGUAGAUAUGCGGAGGAAUACCGAUGGCGAAGGCAGCCCCCUGGGAUAAUACUGACGCUCAUGCACGAAAGCGUGGGUAGCAAACAGG
rnacentral:rRNA from 1 species